rnacentral:rRNA from 1 species
AGAGUUUGAUCCUGGCUCAGAACGAACGCUGGCGGCAGGCCUAAUACAUGCAAGUCGAACGAGAAAACUCUUCGGAGUGAGUAUAGUGGCGCACGGGUGAGUAACACGUGGGUGAUCUACCUUUUAGUGGGGAACAACAGGAAGAAAUUCCUGCUAAUACCGCAUAAGUUGAAUGACUUUGGAAGGAAUUCAAGAAAGGGGGCUUCGGCUCUCGCUGAAAGAUGAGCCCGCGGGACAUUAGCUUGAUGGUGUGGUAACGGCGCACCAUGGCUACGAUGUCUAGCUGGUCUGAGAGGAUGAUCAGCCACACUGGAACUGAGACACGGUCCAGACUCCUACGGGAGGCAGCAGUAGGGAAUAUUGCGCAAUGGGGGAAACCCUGACGCAGCCAUGCCGCGUGAGUGAGGAAGGCCUUAGGGUUGUAAAGCUCUGUCCUAAGAGAAUAACGGCAUUAUGGUUAAUACCCAUAGUGUUUGAAGGUAUCUUAGAAGAAAGCACCGGCUAACUUCGUGCCAGCAGCCGCGGUAAUACGAAGGGUGCAAGCGUUGUUCGGAUUUACUGGGCGUAAAGCGCGCGCAGGCGGAUUUUUAAGUCAGAUGUGAAAUCUCGGGGCUCAACCCCGAAACUGCGUCUGAAACUGUUCAUCUAGAGUCUCGGAGAGGGAAGGGGAAUUUCAUGUGUAGGGGUAAAAUCCGUAGAGAUAUGAAGGAACACCAGAGGCGAAGGCGCCUUCCUGGACGAGUACUGACGCUGAGGCGCGAAAGCGUGGGGAGCAAACAGGAUUAGAUACCCUGGUAGUCCACGCCGUAAACGAUGAUAACUAACUAUUGGGGGUAUUGACUCCUUCAGUGGUACAGCAAACGCGUUAAGUUGUCCGCCUGGGGAGUACGGUCGCAAGACUAAAACUCAAAGGAAUUGACGGGGGCCCGCACAAGCGGUGGAGUAUGUGGUUUAAUUCGAUGCAACGCGAAGAACCUUACCUGGGCUUGAAAUCCUACGAAUCCUCUAGAGAUAGAGGAGUGCCCUUCGGGGAAUGUAGUGACAGGCGCUGCAUGGCUGUCGUCAGCUCGUGUUGUGAAAUGUUGGGUUAAGUCUCGCAACGAGCGCAACCCCUAUCUUUAGUUGCCAGCAUUAAGUUGGGCACUCUAGAGAGACUGCCUGGGUUAACCAGGAGGAAGGUGGGGAUGACGUCAAGUCCUCAUGGCCCUUAUGUCUAGGGCUACACACGUAAUACAAUGGUCGGUACAGAGGGACGCGAACUCGCGAGGGGGAGCAAAUCUCAAAAAACCGAUCUCAGUCCGGAUUGGAGUCUGCAACUCGACUCCAUGAAGUUGGAAUCGCUAGUAAUCGUGGAUCAGCACGCCACGGUGAAUACGUUCCCGGGCCUUGUACACACCGCCCGU